UGCUAUCUAACUGGGAGUCUCCUGAGUGAAAGCAUCUGAAGUUCUUCAAAGAAGGUAGCACGGCAGGGCGCCAAGCCACUAGACAGGGGAGGACAGCGAUUAAUAAAUCACCCUAAAGGCAUCAUGGGAUGUUUGGAGCAGGCUGCAGGGCACCCUGGGACAGAGCCAUGUGUGUUUCCGGUGUCCUGGAACGCACCCUGUCUGGUUGCCGGGCGAAUUAGCUUGUUGGGAGAUCAUGUUCACCCGCACCUGUAUCCCAUCAGUAAUCUGCACACCUGUCCUGAUCAUCACCUCUCCCCUUCAAAAGCUCUGACCUGACCUCCAUUCCCUGCCGGAUCGUUAGCCAUGAACACCAUUCACCCGGAACCCAUACCCCAUCCAUGUCUGCUCGUCGCCAGGGUGUUGUUAUCCAUUGGAUCUGCCUAUCCACUCCCAUCAACCCACCUCCGCUGCCCGCUCCUCCACCCGGAACUAUCUACCUCCACGUUCUCAUUAAUUAAUAAAUACUCACCAUCUUUAUACUCACCUUGUCUGCUUCUGGGUCCAAUUCUGGUAAACCCUGACAUUAACGAUAUGAAUGCACAAUGCAAUGUUUUGAACAUUGGACAGCCUGCGUUACAAGUGAUGACUGUUUUGAGUUUUGUGUCGAGUUUUGAAAAAGGACCACAAGGUUCUGAAAUUAGUGCCAAAGUGAUUGUUAAAAACUGUAUAUGGCCUCAAAACAUGGUCAAAAAUAUAUUUUGGGCCUCGCGGGUGGCAUAAUGGUCUAAGGCACUGCGGCGCAGUGCUUGAGAUUUUGGAAUCGAGUCCAGGCUCUUUCGCAGCCGGUCACGACCGGGAGACCCAUGGGGCGGCGCACAAUUGGCCCAGCGUCGUCCGGGUUAGGGAGGGUUUGGCCGGCUGGGAUAUCCUUGUCUCAUCGCGCACUAGUGUCUCCUGUGGCGGGCCGGGCGCAGUGCACGCUGACACUGUCGCCAGGGGUACGGUGUUUCCUCUGACACAUUGGUGCGGCUGGCUUCCGGGUUGGAUGG
ensembl:lncRNA